ensembl:lncRNA
CUCUGUCCACGCCGUGGCCCUUUCUCCCGGCUCAGACCCCUCCCAGCUGAACGUUCUCCAGGCGGCUGCCCGGGACGCCCUCGGGCUCGGCAGCCACAGCGGGGUAGAUCUCGAUCGUCUCCAUGAUGGUCAGGGUGUUGCCGUAGUCCGGGGCGGCGGUGGCCGCCAUGGCAGCGGCGGCAGCGGCUUCGGCCAGGGCCUCCUGCUCGUUCUGCAGGCGCUGCUGCUGGUGCAGCUUGCGGUGCUUCCACAGGUUGGAGAAGGAGCGAUAGGCCUUGCCGCAGUCGGCGCAGUGGUAGGGGCGCUCGCCGGUGUGGAUGCGCCGGUGCUCGGCCAGCCGCACGGCGAUGGUGAAGGCCUUGCCGCACUCCUCGCAUUUGAAGGGCUUCUCGCCGGUGUGCAGGCGCCGGUGGUCCUUGAGGUGGGUGGACUGCCGGAAGGCCUUGCCGCAGUCCGGGCAGGGGUAGGGCCGCUCCCCAGUGUGGAUGCGCCGGUGAACCUGCAGCGAGGUCUCGGUGCUGAACAACUUCUUGCACUCAGCGCAUUCAAAGCUCUUGGGGCAGGCGGCGCGGCGGGGCGGGGGGGGCGGCGGCGGCGGGGCGGGGGCCUCCUCCUCUGGGGCGGCCACGGCGCCCCCAUCGUGGAGGAGCUCGUGGGCACGGAGCCGGGCAGCCGAGCUGACCUUCUUCCCGCAGGUGGGGCACUCGAAGCGCCGGCUCACCUUGCCGCACUUGUGCUCGCGGAGCUGCAGGGCCGUGACGAAGGCGGCGCCGCAGCCGGCGCAGACCUGGGGCUCCCGCCCGGCGUGGCUCAGCUGGUGCACAUCCAGCAGGCGCCGGAGCAGGAAGGAGCGCCCACACUCCUGGCACUUGUAGGGGUACUCGCCCGUGUGGUGGUAGCGGUGCAUGAGCAGGCGGUAGGGCCGGUGGAAGUUGAUGCCGCACUCCUGGCACUUGUAGGGGUAGUGGCGGCUGUGCACGAAGAGGUGCUGCUGCAGGGUGGAGGACUGGGUGAAGGCCUUCUGGCAGAUCUCGCAGCGGUAGGGGCGCUCGCCCGUGUGGGUCAGCCGGUGGCGCAGCAGGUUGGCCUGGGAGUUGAAGCUCUUGCCGCACUCCUUGCAGUGGAAGGGGCGCUCGCCCGUGUGGGUCAGCAGGUGGUUGCGGACGUGCGACUUCUUCUUGAACAUCUUGCCGCAGGUCUGGCACUUGUGGCGCCGCUCCAGCUUGUGCACGAAGCGCUGGUGCCGCACCAGCUGCAGGUGCUUGGAGAAGACCUUGCUGCACAUCAGGCAGCGGAAGCUGGGCCCGUUGGCCUCCGCGUUCUCCACCGAGUAGAUGAUGGCCAGCGGCACAACGUCGUCCGGCUUCUUGGGCGCCGGCGGGGCGGGCGGGGGCUCUGGGGGGGCGGGCAGGGGCGGCUCCGGCGGGGGGGGCGGCAGGGGGCCGUGGGAGCGGCGGUGGUACAGGAACUUGGUCAUGUUGAGGAAGGCCUUGCCGCAGGCGCAGCGGUGCAGGGGGUUGGGGGAGUGGCCGCGCCGGUGGGCCAGCAGCACGGCCUCGGUGUCGAAGGCCAGGCCGCAGUCCAUGCACAGGUAGCGCGACUCGCCGCUGUGCUCGCUCCGGUGCUGCCGCAGGGCCAGCGGGGUGGCCAGCACCUUGCUGCAGAGUGGGCACUGGAAGGCGCCCUGCCGGUGGCACUGCAGGUGCAGCUGGAGCUGGUGUGCCGAGGGGAAGGGCUGCUGGCACUCGGCGCACCAGGGCUCCUGGCCGCCCCGCUUGGGCCGGCGCGGCGCGGCCGCCGCCUCCUCAGGCCCAUUCUUCAGCUCGUAGCUGUGGUCGCUGGCGGUGAUGCUGGGCUCCGAGGGGGCGGGCGCAGCUCCGUUCAGCACGCCCGCCGGCGCCGGUUGGGGGGGCUCUGCCGGGCAGGCGGGCGGCUCUGCCAGCUCCCCGGCGGGCGCAGCGCCCAGGUGCGUGGCCUGGUGCUCCAGGAAGUCCUUGGGCGUCUGGAAGAGCUGCAAGCACUCGCCGCAUUCGUAGAGCAGCAGCUGUACAGCGCAGCCGUCCGCCCCCGCUGCCGCCGCCGCCGCCUCCUCCGGCUUGCGGUACGAGUGCUCCAGGUCCACCAGCGCCUGGCUCUGGCCGGUGGGGGCCGCCUCGGGGGCGGGAGGCUCCGGGGGGGCGCGGUGGGCCUGCCGGUGAGCCAGCCACACCUCCUGGCUGAGGAACAGCGCCUUGCACUCCACGCACUCAUAGUGGAUCUGGCUGGAGGCCGGCAGCUUGGCGGGCGCCUCCGGCUCCUGGCUCAGCCGCUUGAGGUGCAGCUCCUGGUGCUCGAGGAGCUCGCCGGGCGAGAGCAGCAGCUGCCCGCACUCCAGGCACUGGUACUGGCUGCUCUCCUGCACGGCCAGCGCCUGGUACAGCCCGGCCUCGGCCUCGCCCGCCAGCCCCACCACCUCAUAGUGCUGCUCCGGGCCCAGGUGGCUCUGCUGGUGCAGCAGCGCCUCCUCCAGGGAGCCGUAGAGCUGGCUGCACUCCGAGCAGACGUAGCGGUGCUCCACGUACAGCAGCGUCUCCUCCGCCGGCUCCGCCAUGCCGGGGCCUCACCUGCCGGGGGAGGGGAGAGACGGGGUGAGAG